rnacentral:rRNA from 1 species
GUGGGGAAUCUUGCGCAAUGGGCGAAAGCCUGACGCAGCCAUGCCGCGUGAAUGAUGAAGGUCUUAGGAUUGUAAAAUUCUUUCACCGGGGACGAUAAUGACGGUACCCGGAGAAGAAGCUCCGGCUAACUUCGUGCCAGCAGCCGCGGUAAUACGAAGGGGGCUAGCGUUGCUCGGAAUUACUGGGCGUAAAGGGCGCGUAGGCGGACAGCUUAGUCAGAGGUGAAAGCCCAGGGCUCAACCUUGGAAUUGCCUUUGAUACUGGCUGUCUUGAGUUUGGGAGAGGUGAGUGGAACUCCGAGUGUAGAGGUGAAAUUCGUAGAUAUUCGGAAGAACACCAGUGGCGAAGGCGACUCACUGGCCCAAUACUGACGCUGAGGCGCGAAAGCGUGUGGAGCAAACAGGAUUAGAUACCCCAGUAGCC